UCUUCCUGGAUUUUACAACAAUCUUUUCAAAUUUUCGGGAGCUGCAUACCGUUUCCAGUGGCUGUGAAAAAUUUCUGUGAUGAUAGGAAACCUGAUUUGCUGAGACAAAUGAAAAGUUUACUUCAAAGAAAGAAAAUCAUUUCGUGAUAUAUAAUAUGUACAUGUAGCAGCAGGCAGGCGCGGCCACGUCGACAAAUAGGCCGUUCCAGCGCGGCGCCGGCUGCCUCUGUAUUACACAAAUAAAAUAGCUCACUUUGUGAUAUUUAAUAUGCCGUGGAGCUGUUAAAGCUUUUUGUAAGAGGACGGCUUCAUCAGAGAGAUGUACUAUCGGUUUGUCUUUGACGCACUGCAUACUUUUAAAACUGUAAAGGGGCCGUUUUGUUAAAGAAUCGAAUGUUCUUUGAAGGCGCGUUUGAGUUGGCCGGUCUUCAAAAUCGUCGCGCGAAGACUGGAAUCGACGCUCGGGGAACUGGAAUCGGCUACAUCAGAGAAUCGAUUCCUCAAAAAAGUGGAAUCGCAAUUCCGAUUCCGAGGUUGGGGUCGAUUCUAUUCGAUUUCGGUGUGGAUUCGCCCAAUAGUAAACUCCAGUGAAACUCCGAGAGAUAACAGCAUCAAUUUGAUUAAAUGAAUUUCACUCUGACUUUUAACAGUGGUCACCAUGGCACCAAACACACUUCUGUAGUGUGUUCAUUUUUACCAUGGCAACCGAUGUAAAUACAUCGGUGGUCAUAAACUAAAGUCAAAAAUACUUCCAUUUUCAAAACCUAUCACGAAAGUAUUAUCUUUAGAGUGAAAUUCAUGGCUAUAUAAUUAACAACAAUACCUGCUCAUUAUGUAAUGUGGCCGCCAUUGGUGCGAGAAGCCCAUGUAAUUUUCACCUUUCAAUCUGUACCAUUUUCUUUGUUUUGAUGUACUUUUCUGAUAGUUAUUACAUGAAUCAAUUGCAGAGCAAUAAAUAACAUCACCAAAAUUUACUUCAGUUUUGCCAAUUCGGGUUAACAAUCCACACAUUUUUGGAAUAAAAUCAGUAAGUACCGGUAUAUAGUCCCUAUGGCAGUGACAAUGGAUGCAUACAAUUACAUGCAUACCAAUAAUGUUUGUUCUAAAUAUAGAACCAUUUACACAUAAAAUACAAAAAGUAUGCCCAAAAUGUUAUCUAGAGUUUGGAAAUAUAUAGAAAAACACCUCUAGUGGUAGCAACAAUACAUGUAUAACCAAGAAUGUCAUAUUAUAGAGUAGUGGUCAACCAAUAUUUUCCUGCCAAAUCAGUUGUGUAGGAAAAUCGGUCGAAGCAUAUAUGCAAAUCAACAUGGGGAUCACAAUGUGCUGUACCUCUCCCUUUCAGAAAAAAACCCCAAAUACUCGCCAGAAAGGGUUAAAAUCUGUACAUUGGCGGAUCCAGCGGGGGGCACGGGGGCGCAUGCCCUCCCCCGGCAAAUAUUUUAAAAUGUAUACUGUGAUUGGUGAAAAGCGGACGGUGAUCCGACGGGCCACGCGUUUUGAGUUCGAGGAAGAACAUCAUUCAAAAGGCUUAACUACACGAAGAUGUACGUACGUAUGUGUAGUCCGACGUACAUGACACAUACGUGCACACGUACCGAAGGCUAAAAUAGUUCGCGCGCUUCAAAAAUUUUAAUCAUAGCAUGUACAUAACGUAAGCGCGGCCUGCCUCGCGCCUAGCUGUCCGCCGGCCAUUGCAUUGCUUAGUCCAAGUGAAACACGUACAUGCACACGUGCCCGUGGCCGUGGUUGAAAUGGUAUGCCGACAUUUACGUUAUGGUUUGUUCUUCGCUGUCCCCUGCUUUUUACCACCAGAGUACGUCCUGCGCGAAAUUUCGUGUAUGGGACCAGCGAAGGUUUGUGCAUGCCGUAGGUGCGCAGUUAGUUCAGUGCACACGCAUAAACUCAUUCUCCAUGAACUGAUGAAUGUUUUCCAAGCUGUGGGCCGACACACAUUGUAAACAGUACAAGAUGCCGAGGGAUAAGUGGCGAAAAGUUAACGGAGACUGCAGCACUUUGCAAUAUUUCAAGAAAUGUAUGGUUGUACCGGCAGCAUCGAUUGUUCAUGAUCCUCGGGAAAGAGAAGAGAACAUCCUUAAAGAAAACAUUUUCUACCCCCGUAGUACUAGGCCUACAACAGUCGGGGAUAUAGCUAGGUACAACGAUGGUCACAAAGUUAUGCAAACGUACCAAUAAAACAUAGAAAUGGGCUGCCCCAGUUUUUUACUUCAAUGUUUUAUUACAAAGUUAAUUUUAAAAAAACCCAACACUUUGCAUAUGGUGAACAAUUUAAGGAUCCAAGCACAUUUAGAAUGCUAUAUACACCAUAGACACUCGAAAUAAGAUUUUUAUUUGAAAUAAUUAUGUAAUCAAAGUUGCUAUUUCCAUAGUGUUCACAAUUUGUGUGGGUGUGUGUGUGCAAUUGAAACCAAUUCAAUGUCUUGCUGUGUUUGCUGUAUAAUGGGCCCUAUGUCAGUUAUUUUACUCAUCGUAAACUUUGGCCUCCGUGUGUUGGAUUCUACGUGUAUUCCAAUCACCGUUGCUCCUUAUUAUAUGUUUACAUGUGCAUGAUCGAACGUGUGGUUCAAUAAUAUUAAAAGCGAAUGAAAAUGUAGAUUUGUCAGUAAUGUAGGCAACUCUACCUCAAAAGACCUCUAGUUGGUGGAAGGGGAAUUGUAAACCAUGUCGCGUUUCAAAAGUGAAUGAUUUGUAUUGUGAGUGCUUCAUGGAGAGGAAUCAUUUGUCUGGGAAAUUGUGUGGGGAUUGAACUUGAAAUACCACAAACAAUCAUACUCAACAAGCAAGGACAAAUUCACCAAAUCUUCCGAAAUGAUUUUAGGUCUAUCGACUAUGUACGAAUCAAAGUGUCUGGUUUAUUUGAUGUGAUGACUUUGGAAAUGUCCUUCAAAUAAAAGAUACUGAAAAGCA
rnacentral:lncRNA from 1 species